UGGCUGGAAGCAUGGGACUCAUUAAUCCACUUGUUCUUAAUCCACUCACUCCUCCGGGAUACAAUCCCUACACACAGUUUGCUCCGCUUAUAAAUCAGCAGACUGCACUUGUUGCUGCUUCCGCCCAGGGUGCCUACCUGGGUCAGAUGACCGGUAUAU